GACGAACGCUGGCGGCGUGCUUAACACAUGCAAGUCGAGCGGUAAGGCCCUUUCGGGGGUACACGAGCGGCGAACGGGUGAGUAACACGUGGGCGACCUACCCUCAGCUUCGGGAUAAGCCUGGGAAACUGGGUCUAAUACCGGAUAUGACCUUCCCUCGCAUGGGGGUUGGUGGAAAGUUUUUCGGCUGGGGAUGGGCCCGCGGCCUAUCAGCUUGUUGGUGGGGUGAUGGCCUACCAAGGCGACGACGGGAGCCGGCCUGAGAGGGCGACCGGCCACACUGGGACUGAGAUACGGCCCAGACUCCUACGGGAGGCAGCAGUGGGGAAUAUUGCGCAAUGGGCGGAAGCCUGACGCAGCGACGCCGCGU
rnacentral:rRNA from 1 species